CGAGCGGCGGACGGGUGAGUAAUACUUACGAAUCUACCUAGUAGUGGGGGAUAUGUCGGGGAAACUCGAAUUAAUACCGCAUACUACCUACGGGAGAAAGGGGGCAACUUGUUGCUCUCGCUAUUAGAUGAGCCUAAGUCGGAUUAGCUAGAUGGUGGGGUAAAGGCCUACCAUGGCGACGAUCUGUAGCUGGUCUGAGAGGAUGAUCAGCCACACCGGGACUGAGACACGGCCCGGACUCCUACGGGAGGCAGCAGUGGGGAAUAUUGGACAAUGGGGGCAACCCUGAUCCAGCCAUGCCGCGUGUGUGAAGAAGGCCUUUUGGUUGUAAAGCACUUUAAGCAGUGAAGAAGACUCCUCGGUUAAUACCCGUGGACGAUGACAUUAGCUGCAGAAUAAGCACCGGCUAACUCUGUGCCAGCAGCCGCGGUAAUACAGAGGGUGCAAGCGUUAAUCGGAAUUACUGGGCGUAAAGCGAGCGUAGGUGGCUUGAUAAGUCAGAUGUGAAAUCCCCGGGCUUAACCUGGGAACUGCAUCUGAUACUGUUAGGCUAGAGUAGGUGAGAGGAAGGUAGAAUUCCAGGUGUAGCGGUGAAAUGCGUAGAGAUCUGGAGGAAUACCGAUGGCGAAGGCAGCCUUCUGGCAUCAUACAGACACUGAGGCUCGAAAGCGUGGAGUAGCUUACAGGAUUAGAUACCCUGGUAGUCCACGCCGUAAACGAUGUCUACUAGUCGUUGGGUCCCUUGAGGACUUAGUGACGCAGCUAACGCUGUAAGUACACCGC
rnacentral:rRNA from 1 species